GGUAACACUAACUGGAGGACCGAACCGACUAAUGUUGAAAAAUUAGCGGAUGACCUGUGGCUGGGGGUGAAAGGCCAAUCAAACCGGGAGAUAGCUGGUUCUCCCCGAAAGCUAUUUAGGUAGCGCCUCGUGAAUUCAUCUCCGGGGGUAGAGCACUGUUUCGGCUAGGGGGCCAUCCCGGCUUACCAACCCGAUGCAAACUGCGAAUACCGGAGAAUGUUAUCACGGGAGACACACGGCGGGUGCUAACGUCCGUCGUGAAGAGGGAAACAACCCAGACCGCCAGCUAAGGUCCCAAAGUCAUGGUUAAGUGGGAAACGAUGUGGGAAGGCCCAGACAGCCAGGAUGUUGGCUUAGAAGCAGCCAUCAUUUAAAGAAAGCGUAAUAGCUCACUGGUCGAGUCGGCCUGCGCGGAAGAUGUAACGGGGCUAAACCAUGCACCGAAGCUGCGGCAGCGACACUGUGUGUUGUUGGGUAGGGGAGCGUUCUGUAAGCCUGUGAAGGUGUGUCGUGAGGCAUGCUGGAGGUAUCAGAAGUGCGAAUGCUGACAUAAGUAACGAUAAAGCGGGUGAAAAGCCCGCUCGCCGGAAGACCAAGGGUUCCUGUCCAACGUUAAUCGGGGCAGGGUGAGUCGACCCCUAAGGCGAGGCCGAAAGGCGUAGUCGAUGGGAAACGGGUUAAUAUUCCCGUACUUGGUGUUACUGCGAAGGGGGGACGGAGAAGGCUAUGUUGGCCGGGCGACGGUUGUCCCGGUUUAAGCGUGUAGGUGUGUGUUCCAGGUAAAUCCGGUUCACUUUAACACUGAGGCGUGACGACGAGGCACUACGGUGCUGAAGCAACAAAUGCCCUGCUUCCAGGAAAAGCCUCUAAGCAUCAGGUAACAUCAAAUCGUACCCCAAACCGACACAGGUGGUCAGGUAGAGAAUACCAAGGCGCUUGAGAGAACUCGGGUGAAGGAACUAGGCAAAAUGGUGCCGUAACUUCGGGAGAAGGCACGCUGACACGUAGGUGAAGUGAUUUACUCAUGGAGCUGAAGUCAGUCGAAGAUACCAGCUGGCUGCAACUGUUUAUUAAAAACACAGCACUGUGCAAACACGAAAGUGGACGUAUACGGUGUGACGCCUGCCCGGUGCCGGAAGGUUAAUUGAUGGGGUCAGCGCAAGCGAAGCUCCUGAUCGAAGCCCCGGUAAACGGCGGCCGUAACUAUAACGGUCCUAAGGUAGCGAAAUUCCUUGUCGGGUAAGUUCCGACCUGCACGAAUGGCGUAAUGAUGGCCAGGCUGUCUCCACCCGAGACUCAGUGAAAUUGAACUCGCUGUGAAGAUGCAGUGUACCCGCGGCAAGACGGAAAGACCCCGUGAACCUUUACUAUAGCUUGACACUGAACAUUGAGCCUUGAUGUGUAGGAUAGGUGGGAGGCUUUGAAGUGUGGACGCCAGUCUGCAUGGAGCCGACCUUGAAAUACCACCCUUUAAUGUUUGAUGUUCUAACGUGGACCCGUUACCCGGGUUGCGGACAGUGUCUGGUGGGUAGUUUGACUGGGGCGGUCUCCUCCUAAAGAGUAACGGAGGAGCACGAAGGUUGGCUAAUCCUGGUCGGACAUCAGGAGGUUAGUGCAAUGGCAUAAGCCAGCUUGACUGCGAGCGUGACGGCGCGAGCAGGUGCGAAAGCAGGUCAUAGUGAUCCGGUGGUUCUGAAUGGAAGGGCCAUCGCUCAACGGAUAAAAGGUACUCCGGGGAUAACAGGCUGAUACCGCCCAAGAGUUCAUAUCGACGGCGGUGUUUGGCACCUCGAUGUCGGCUCAUCACAUCCUGGGGCUGAAGUAGGUCCCAAGGGUAUGGCUGUUCGCCAUUUAAAGUGGUACGCGAGCUGGGUUUAGAACGUCGUGAGACAGUUCGGUCCCUAUCUGCCGUGGGCGCUGGAGAACUGAGGGGGGCUGCUCCUAGUACGAGAGGACCGGAGUGGACGCAUCACUGGUGUUCGGGUUGUCAUGCCAAUGGCACUGCCCG
rnacentral:rRNA from 1 species